UCAGCGGGUAUUCUUGUCGCAGCGAGGUCAAAAAGUUGUCGGCAAGCCGACGAUUUUCUUCCACCAGCUCCCCCGUGCGGCAGACUCCUGUCAAACCGGACUCACAGGGUGCGGCGCGCUUCUUUGCGGACAGGCGCAGGCCUUGUCCAACACCAGAUUGCUCUGAAUGAGAAACGACGCUCGCUACGGCAUGCCUAUCGGAAUACCAAAAGGCGCAAUGUGCGUUCAAAGAUUCGAUGAUUCACUAGAUUCUGCAAUUCACAUUACGUAUCGCAUUUCGCUGCGUUCUUCAUCGAUGCGGGAACCA
rnacentral:misc_RNA from 1 species